rnacentral:rRNA from 1 species
AGCCUUAGGAUAAUUAUCUAAGGUCAGACCUGCCCAAUGUAUAUUUAAUGAAUGKCCGCGGUACUUUGACCGUGCUAAGGUAGCGCAAUCAAUUGGCUUYUAAUUGGAGUCAGGUAUGAAAGGAGUCWCGGAGUUUAGCUGUCUCCUGGUUAUUAUAUUGAAAUUACUAUGUAGGUGAAAAAGCCUGCAAAAAGAAAAAGGACGAGAAGACCCUUASAGUUUUACUAAAAUUGGAAGUAAAUUAUUAAAUUUUCCAAAGCGGUUYUGUUGGGGCAACACAGGAACAGGUUAAAAUUUAAUCUCCUAAUGAUCACAAAUCGAUUAUAUUAGAAUUGAAUAAACUWCCUUAGGGAUAACAGCAUAAUUYUAUAAAUAAGUUUGUGACCUCGAUGUUGGMCUAGGAAACUGGAAGGCUAGCCGCCUUCUAGGUAAGUCGUCGAACUAUUAA